GUCUACCACAUGAUCCACUACCGGAUCAAAGCUUGACUUCUGGGUUCUGUGAGCAGCGGUGUACCACUCCAGGGGCUGACAGCUUGUCAUUUGGAGGAUCUGUAUGGGGAGGCACCAUCAUCCCCAUGACAACCUGGACGCCUUGAUGUGAUGGUUGAUGUCUACCACGUGACCCACUACCGAAUCAAAGCUUGACUUCCAGGUUCUGUGAGCGGCGGUGUACAGCUCCAAGGGCUGACAGCUUGUGAUUUGGAGGAUCUGUAUGGGGG